UGGUUGAUCCCGCCGGAGGCUACCGCUAUUGGAGUUCGAUUAAGCCAUGCGAGUCGCGAGAAAUUAGAUUCUCGGCGUACCGCUCAGUAACACGUGGGUAACCUGCCCUAUGCUGGAUAAUAACCUCGGGAAACUGAGAAUAAUGAUCCAUAGUUCACUACGCCUGGAACGGUGAGUGGAUGAAAGCUCCGGCGGCAUAGGAUGGGCCUGCGGCGUAUCAGGUUGUAGGGGGUGUAACGUACCCUCUAGCCCUCUACGCGUACGGGUGUUGGGAGACAUAGCCCGGAGAUGGAUUCUGAGACACGAAUCCAGACCCUACGGGGUGCAGCAGGCGCGAAAACUUGGCAAUGCGAGAAAUCGUGACCAGGGAACUCCAAGUGCAUCGGGUAAGACCGGUGCUUUUCUUGACUCUAAAUAGGUCUUGGAAUAAGGGGUGGGUAAGGACGGUGCCAGCCGCCGCGGUAAUACCGGCGCCUCAAGUGGUAGUCGCUUUUAUUGGGCCUAAAACGUCCGUAGCCGGUCUGAUACAUUCGUGGGUAAAUCAACCAGCUUAACUGGUUGAAUUCUGCGAGGACGGUCAGACUUGGGACCGGGAGAGGUGUGGGGUACGCUCAGGGUAGGGGUAAAAUCCUGUCAUCCUGAGCGGACCACCUGUUGCGAAGGCGCCACACUAGAACGGAUCCGACGGUCAGGGACGAAGCCUAGGGGCACGAACCGGAUUAGAUACCCGGGUAGUCCUAGGUGUAAACGCUGUGGACUUGAUGUUGGAGGAGCUCCGAGCUCUUUCAGUGUCGAAGCGAAGGUGAUAAGUCCACUGCCUGGGAAGUACGGUCGCAAGGCUGAACUUAAAGGAAUUGGCGGGGGAGCACCGCAACCUGAGGAUUGUGCGGUUUAAUUGGAGUCAACGCCGGA
rnacentral:rRNA from 1 species